UGGCGAGCAGCGGAACGGCGGCGGCGGCGAAAACUAGGGUUAGAGGAAAAACGAGAAACAAGAGAUUAAACACAAGUAACCAGCAACAAUUGAACGAGUAGGCACACAAAUUCAACAAAGACACUUAUUGAAAGAAUGUGCGAGGCUAAACGGUUGCUGGGACAAAGGAUCUAACCUGAAAAAAAUUUGUUUUGGUUUUUGUGGACUGUAGGAAGGGAAAAACACUCGGUAAAACUCACCGAUCAACCUGGAAAGCUGAUACCACUUGAUAGAGUCGGAGUGCCCGAUCUUUCGGUGAGUGGAGAUAAAUUUGAC
rnacentral:lncRNA from 1 species